UUGGCGGUAAAUUAUAUAUUUUUAAAUAUGUAUUUGCGUCUUAUAUAAAUAUAUAUUUUUCUACAUGUUCCAGUGGGUAUUGGUAUUAGUCUUAAUGGUUCCACAUGGCUCUUUGGGUAUAGAAGUCUUAUGCAACAGCUUUUAUUGAAGGUUAUCUAUCACAAAUGGAGUGUCUUAUCUGCAAGAAACUGAUGAGUUAACUUAUUGUUAUAUUUACUUUUUACAAAGUCUAUCGCCAAGCAGUGAUUCAAGCUACACAACAGCCACACAAUUAACAAAAGCUCAC